rnacentral:rRNA from 1 species
CCCUAUGGGGUGCAGCAGGCUUAAAAAACGCUGAACUUUUUCACACUCGGUUUUUAAAAUACAGGCCAAAGCCGAUUCUUCUACCGCAUUAGAUUCCAUAAGGUCAAAGGAAACUUUUCCCAUAUCGGGGUGAUAAUUUGAGGCCGGACGAUUUUGCAUAUGAAACGCUCCUACAUCAUGUUACAUGCACAUAGCGCAUGCUCUAUUCAAUAUAUGCAGCAUAUACAGCAUUUGUACACAUAUUUAUUUUUCAUAAAUCCUUUCCUUUUUUCUUCAAUCGUUUUACACUAACAGGUAGGAUGUUAUAAUUGAGAGGAGCGUUCUCAUGAAAUUUGUUGUGGACCCGGCCGUAUUUGGAGCUUUGCCUACCGCCUGCUUUGGGGUAGUCGUUGCAAAAGGAAUUGGCGGGGGGGC